rnacentral:rRNA from 1 species
AUGUUUUGGAUGGAUUUUCAGGUGUUUGUGAAGAACCAGAAGACCAGGGCCUACUCCAAGCGGUUCCAAGUGAAGUUCAAGAGAAGGAGACAGGGGAAGACCGAUUACAGGGCCAGGCUCAGGCUCACCAACCAAGACAAGAACAAGUACAACACGCCCAAGUACCGGUUUGUUGUACGAUUUACCAACAAAGAUGUCACUGCCCAAAUUGUGUACGCUACCAUUGCUGGUGAUAUCGUGAUGGCUGCUGCCUAUUCCCAUGAGCUUCCUCGGUAUGGUCUUGAAGUUGGCCUCACCAACUAUGCUGCAGCGUACUGCACUGGUCUGCUUUUGGCCCGCCGUGUGCUCAAGUGCCGUGAUUUGGAUCAGGAAUAUGAGGGCAAUGUUGAGGCCACUGGGGAGGACUUCUCUGUUGAGCCGGCUGAUGAGAGGAGGCCUUUCCGCGCGCUCUUGGAUGUUGGCCUUAUUAGGACCACUACUGGAAACCGUGUGUUUGGUGCCCUUAAGGGAGCUUUGGAUGGUGGUCUUGAUAUUCCGCACAGUGACAAGAGAUUUGCUGGCUUCAAGAAGGAUGAGAAGCAGCUGGACGCUGAGAUUCACCGCAAAUACAUCUAUGGAGGGCAUGUUGCUGACUACAUGAAGUCACUGGCUGAUGAGGAACCUGAGAAGUACCAAUCUCACUUCAGUGAGUACAUCAAGAAGGGGAUUGAGGCUGAUAACAUGGAAGCACUGUACAAGAAGGUUCAUGCUGCCAUUCGUGCUGAUCCUACCAUGGCAAAGUCAACCAAGGAACCUCCAAAGACGCACAAGAGGUACAACCCCAAGAAGCUGACCUACGAGCAGAGGAAGGCCAGUCUCGUGGAGCGGCUCAACGCCCUCAACUCAUCUGCUGGUGCUGAUGUCGAUGAGGACGACGACGAAUGA